CACAGAAAAUGCACCGCCCCGAGUGUCUUAUUGCUGUGAUGAAAUGGAAAUUUAAAUAAAAGGUCGAACACGUGCGUUCACUGGGAAGUAUUGACAUGGGUGUUACAUCACCAGCAGCCAAUCAGAUAACUACAGUCGUGUUUAUACUUCUACAACCACCUUGUGAGUAUUACAGUAUGUCAUAACGUUAUAAAUAUUAGGCAGGGUUUUCCCCAGGAGGGGGGAGGAGUCUGCUUCUAAGGACGUUGUGAGCGGCUCCGAAGAUUGUGUGUUUAAAGUCAACAAUUCAUUUUUAAGACUUUUUUCAAACUGUUUACAUUACGUGGACUUUAGAUUGAUUCUGACAGAAUGAACUGGAAAUGAAAUCCCACAGUUAUGAUCGUAGUAGAGUUUUUUUUUUUUCCAGUUUAGGGCCCUUAUACUCCUUUUAAAAAAUUUUAAUAUGCUAAAUUUAGCAAAUACUAAAGUGUUAAGACUCAUCUGACAACGUGAGAAUUUAAGCCUAUUUCAGGUUAAAAAAAAAGAUGUUUUCAAGUUAUGGAGGGGCUUUUUACUCUUAAGCAACAUAUGUAUUAGAAGCUGAAUCACGAACUGAUAAAAUGCUCAAGAUAAUUGUUGACUAAAAAAAGAAGAUGGCAGGACAAAUUUUUUACAUUAAUACAUAUGUGCAGAAAAUGAGAAAUAUACAUGAACUCUUUACAGUUAUAAUCUAAUGGGAAGGGUUAUGUUAAAGGCUUGAACCUCGUAAAUAAUAUAUUAAUGUAAAUAAAGUUAUAUAUGUUUUAUGAGGAACAGGUGUUACAAUUUUUAGACCCUCUAGUUUUAUGAUUCUUAUUCUCUUCAAAAGUUCUUUUUCUAUUUCAAAACUAAGAGCAAUAUGUAAAGCUUUGUAUAAUAUGGAAUAUGGUAUGUAUUUCAAGGUUACUUUAAAAAGCAAGCUUUGGCUGGUCCCAAGGUAGUGAAUUGUCUCAAUUAGUUAUUCACAGUUGGUUGCCCAUUGUGCCACUCUUUCCCCACUUCCACUUGACUAGUCUUUUAAAAAUAAAUAAAUAUUUAAAUAAACAA
rnacentral:antisense_RNA from 1 species